UUUAUUUCUUAAUUAUCUCUCCAUCUUCUUCAAUCUCUCACUACAAAUUAAUAUUCCAGAAAUCUCCAGUCCUUUUUUCUUACUUUCUUCCCUCACAAAUAUAGAACAAUCAAUCACUUGACAAUUUGUGAUGAAGAACACCGACCCAAUUCAUAAGACCAAGAAUUGGUCAAAACCCAGGGUCGAAUAAAAAAUUCCAGAAGUUUGCCUCGAUCAAAAAAUAGUUUGCAAAAACGAAUUAAGGACCAAGAUGAUGGUGUAGGUUUUUGUCAGCGAAGAUGACAGUGAAGGUGUUCCUAUCAGUGGUAUACAUAGGUGCAUGUUGUGGUGGUUGGUGUUGCUAAUGACAAAGGCUAUGGCGGUCGAGUGGAUGAAGAUGAGGGCGGUGGUUACAAUGGUAUAUAAAAUGAACUGAUUGUGCACGGGUGGGAUGUUUUAUUUUAUUUUUUAAUUUGUUUAUCAUUAAUAAACACUAAUUCUCACUUUUCAAUUCUUUUUGUAUAAAUAGUUUGAAUACUGGACAUCAAGUAUGAAGAUGGUUAUAUGUAAUAAUGUGUCUU
rnacentral:lncRNA from 1 species